rnacentral:rRNA from 1 species
CGGUUAGACCAAGAAGUUCAGUUAUACUUCAUGGUAAAAAGGUAGUUAAAUGUGGUUUAAAAUCUUACUAAUUUCUGUAUAUAAGUAAAAUUUACACAUAGGAAUCAAUUUCUUAGAAGAGUUAGUCAUUGACGCUACGAAAAUCUUGAGGGAAACCGGGAUUAGAUACCCCGCUAUUCUUGAAAAUAAAUAUAUAAUAAACAUUAUUACCAGGGGACUACGAAUAUAAAUUAAUUAAUUUUAAAACCCAAAGAGCUUGGCGGUGUUUUAGACUAUUUAGGGGAGCUUGUUUCGUAAUCGACAAUCCACGUUAAACCUAAUCUUUUUUUGUAAACAGUAUGUAUAUCGUUGUCGUCAGGUAACUUUUAAAAANUAAGGAGUUAGCGGAUAAAUGUAAUAGAUUUAAACGUCAAAUCAAGAUGCAGCUUAUAAAAAGGUGAGAAUGAGCUACAAUUAAAAUUCAUAAUAUGGAUAAGAAAAGUAAUUUUUUCUUUGAAGGAGGACUUAAAAGUAAAGAUUUUAUUAUAAAAAUUUUUUGAAUUUAGCUCUGAAACGUGCACACAUCGCCCGUCGCUCUCGUUGAAAA